AUGGGGAGCGGUUACAGCGGCAGCGGCCGCCGCCUCUCCUGCCGCCCCCCCCCCCCCUCCCUUCCCCGCCCGGCGGGGGACCGGCCCCCGGCGGCGCGGCGCGACGGGCCGGGCCCGCCGGCUCACCCCGCCCUCUGCUCCUCUCCUCACGCAAGAUCAGCACCCAACAAUGCCAGCUGAAUGUGGAUUCAGAGUUUCGGGAGGACUGUUGAUCGCCUCAGCUCCCUUUACUUCUGCCGAGGGAAAUCGGGAUAGUCUUUCAAGGAAAACACUGAAGAACCCCUCAGGAGCGGCAAGAUGGGGGGAAAGAGGGAAGAAGUUAUGCUGCAGCUCCUUUCCCCAUGGGGGGUCAGAAGCUGAAAAGACGGAUGGAGGCAGGGGGCCAGAGAGAGGACUAAGGUAACACCUUCCCUCCAUUUUUUGGAUGACACUACAAAGAAACUGCACAUCGACAAAGCCUGAAGGAAUUUAGCAAGAGCCUUGCUGUGGUAGCUCCCAGAAAGUUGCCUCCUGCUAUCCCGCAGAGCUGGAAAAACAUGCACCCAUACACUGGGACUAGGGGGAAGGAAGUCCUGCCGCACAGUUUGAGAGGCCUCAGCAAGCAUUUCAUUAUCUCACUUUACAUCUUCAGCUCAUGGUUUGUUGCAUCUAUAAAACUGUCUUGCCCUCAGGCUUAGACAUUUCACAGAGGUGAGAAAGGGUCCAGGGUCUGUGCUUCGUAAUUUAGGCUUUGCAUAAAUAAUUUUGUUGCCGUCUGCUACACUGACUUCAAAAGGCUCAAGAAGGCUCAAAACCAGAGCUGAAUUCAUCAAGGUUAAGGCAUUCACUUUCUGUAGCCAGCAGCACAUGGAGGAGAGACGUGACCAGCAUCGAGGCUGCCCACCCUAGGCACUGCCACCAGGAAGUCUAUUGGUAGCUGGGUGACCCACCAGCAGCCUUUGUCAUUGAGACAUAAGCAGGGCACAAACUUGCACUCCCACAGCUCUGUGCUGCCACUCCCCAUUGCUGCUACAUGACUCACUGGCAGUUCAAAACCUUCCCUGAUAAAAGGUUCUGCAGAAACAAAAAGAAAUACAGAAAACAAGAAGUAAUAGAGUAAUUUAAAAACAGAACAAAACAAACAACAACAAAAAAAAACCCAAAACCUUCAAGAAAAGCCAAUACAAAAAUUUCCUAGCUUUUAUUAACCAAAAAGGACAGUGUGAUGGGAUAAAAACUGGCACUGAUUUUCUGUGUGAAUUACUGCAUUUCCAGUACAACACGUCCUCCGGAACGAAGCUUGCAAAUCUCGGUUCUCAUCAAAUGCUUUUGCUGGAGCUGAGUGUAUGGUCCUUAAGGAUGCAGAGGAAAACGGAGAGCCAUGCUUGGAGGGUGGCCAGCUAAACAAUAGGGAAAAGACAGCCAGAGCCCUGAGCAUGCUGGCCAGAAGAAAAACCAGGGAGAAAGGCAUAUUUUGCCAACUGCACUCCCAGUUACUUAGCCUGCAGCUGCAGCUGGGGAGGGGGCUAGUAUGUAGGAUGAGCGAAAGCUCACAUCCACCCAAGGUAACUCAUUUUCUCAUUACUGAGAAAUGUAAUGCAAAUGCUGACAUUGCCCUGCAGGCAAAUGCAGCGCUGGUUUGGGGUCU